rnacentral:rRNA from 1 species
GUCUGUUUGUAGUUGUAGAGAGUUUAACCUGCCCACUGAUAAAAAUUUAAAGGCCGCGGUAAUUUGACCGUGCAAAGGUAGCAUAGUAAUUAGUUUCUUAAUUGGGAUCUUGUAUGAAUGGUUGGACAAGAAAAAAUCUGUCUUUAUAUUUAUUAUUGAAUUUAACUUUUGAGUGAAAAGGCUUAAAUGAAUUAAAGGGACGAUAAGACCCUAUAAAACUUUAUAUUGUUUAUUAUAUAGUUGAAUUUUAUGGAAUAAAAGCUUAAUAAUAGGAUUUAUUAUAUUGGGGUGAUAAAGGUAAAAUUUUUGAUAACUGCUUAAUUUUUAAAAACAAAAAUAAAUGAAGUGUAAAAUGAUCCUAAUUAAAGAUUAAAAGUUUAAGUUACUUUAGGGAUAACAGCGUUAUUUUUUUUGAGAGUUCCUAUCGAAAAAAAAGUUUGCGACCUCGAUGUUGAAUUAAAAUUUCUAUAUAAUUGCAGCAGUUAUAUAAGAAGGUCUGUUCGACCUUUAAAUUUUUACAUGAUUUGAGUUCAAACCGGCGUGAG